AAUAUUCCGCAAUGGACGCAAGCCUGAUGGAGCAACGCCGCGUGAGUGAUGAAGGUCUUCGGAUCGUAACACUCUGUUGUUAGGGAAGAAGAUGUAUGUGAGCUUCGGACGGUACCUUGACGAUACCUGACGAGAAAGCCACGGCUAACUACGUGCCCGCAGCCGCGGUAAUACGUAGGUGGCUAGCGGUGUCCGGAUUUAUUGUGCGUAAAGAGCGCGCGGGCGGUCUUUUAAGUCUGAUGUGAAAUCUUGCAGCUUAACUGUAAGCGGUCAUUGGAUACUGGGAGACUUGAUUGCAGAAGAGGAGAGUGGAAUUCCAUGUGUGGCGGUGAAAUGCGUAGGGAUAUGGAGGGAAGCCAGUGGCGAAGGCGACUCUCUGGUCUGUAACUGACGCUGGGGCGCGAGAGCGUGGGGAUCAAACA
rnacentral:rRNA from 1 species